AUUGAACGCUGGCGGCAUGCCUUACACAUGCAAGUCGAACGGCAGCACGGGGCAACCUGGUGGCGAGUGGCGAACGGGUGAGUAAUGCAUCGGAACGUACCUUUCAGUGGGGGAUAACGUAGCGAAAGUUACGCUAAUACCGCAUAUUCUGUGAGCAGGAAAGCAGGGGAUCGCAAGACCUUGCGCUGAUUGAGCGGCCGAUGUCAGAUUAGCUAGUUGGUGAGGUAAAGGCUCACCAAGGCGACGAUCUGUAGCGGGUCUGAGAGGAUGAUCCGCCACACUGGAACUGAGACACGGUCCAGACUCCUACGGGAGGCAACAGUGGGGAAGUUUGGACAAUGGGGGCAACCCUGAUCCAGCCAUGCCGCGUGAGGGAAGAAGGCCUUCGGGUUGUAAAGCUCUUUCGGCCGGGAAGAAAUCGCACGGGCUAAUACCCUGUGUGGAUGACGGUACCGGAAUAAGAAGCACCGGCUAACUACGUGCCAGCCGCCGCGGUAA
rnacentral:rRNA from 1 species